rnacentral:rRNA from 1 species
GUUAUAUGGUCAAGUGAAGAAGCGCAUACGGUGGAUGCCUUGGCAGUCAGAGGCGAUGAAAGACGUGGUAGCCUGCGAUAAGCUUCGGGGAGUCGGCAAACAGACUUUGAUCCGGAGAUCUCUGAAUGGGGGAACCCAACCAGCACAAGCUGGUUAUCUUGCACUGAAUACAUAGGUGCAAGAGGCGAACCAGGGGAACUGAAACAUCUAAGUACCCUGAGGAAAAGAAAUCAACCGAGAUUCCCUUAGUAGUGGCGAGCGAACGGGGACUAGCCCUUAAGUGGCUUUGAGAUUAGCGGAACGCUCUGGAAAGUGCGGCCAUAGUGGGUGAUAGCCCUGUACGCGAAAAUCUCUUGGCCAUGAAAUCGAGUAGGACGGAGCACGAGAAACUUUGUCUGAAUAUGGGGGGACCAUCCUCCAAGGCUAAAUACUACUGACUGACCGAUAGUGAACCAGUACCGUGAGGGAAAGGCGAAAAGAACCCCGGAGAGGGGAGUGAAAUAGAUCCUGAAACCGUAUGCGUACAAGCAGUGGGAGCAGACUUCGUUCUGUGACUGCGUACCUUUUGUAUAAUGGGUCAGCGACUUAUUUUCAGUGGCGAGCUUAACCGAAUAGGGGAGGCGUAGCGAAAGCGAGUCUUAAUAGGGCGUCUAGUCGCUGGGAAUAGACCCGAAACCGGGCGAUCUAUCCAUGGGCAGGUUGAAGGUUAGGUAACACUGACUGGAGGACCGAACCGACUACCGUUGAAAAGUUAGCGGAUGACCUGUGGAUCGGAGUGAAAGGCUAAUCAAGCUCGGAGAUAGCUGGUUCUCCUCGAAAGCUAUUUAGGUAGCGCCUCAUGUAUCACUGUAGGGGGUAGAGCACUGUUUCGGCUAGGGGGUCAUCCCGACUUACCAAACCGAUGCAAACUCCGAAUACCUACAAGUGCCGAGCAUGGGAGACACACGGCGGGUGCUAACGUCCGUCGUGAAAAGGGAAACAACCCAGACCGUCAGCUAAGGUCCCAAAGUUAUGGUUAAGUGGGAAACGAUGUGGGAAGGCUUAGACAGCUAGGAGGUUGGCUUAGAAGCAGCCACCCUUUAAAGAAAGCGUAAUAGCUCACUAGUCGAGUCGGCCUGCGCGGAAGAUGUAACGGGGCUCAAACCAUACACCGAAGCUACGGGUAUCACG